UACGUAGGGUGCAAGCGUUGUCCGGAAUCACUGGGCGUAAAGGCGCGUAGGCGGCCUGGUAAGUAGGGGGUGAAAUCCUGCGGCUUAACCGCAGGGCUGCCUUCUAAACUGUCAGGCUUGAGCACGGUAGAGGCAGAUGGAAUUCCCGGUGUAGCGGUGGAAUGCGUAGAGAUCGGGAAGAACAUCAGUGGCGAAGGCGGUCUGCUGGGCCGUUGCUGACGCUGAGGCGCGACAGCGGUGGGGAGCAA
rnacentral:rRNA from 1 species